AUUGAACGCUGGCGGCAUGCCUUACACAUGCAAGUCGAACGGCAGCACGGGAGCAAUCCUGGUGGCGAGUGGCGAACGGGUGAGUAAUAUAUCGGAACGUGCCCAGUCGGGGGGGAUAACGUAGCGAAAGCUACGCUAAUACCGCAUACGAGCUAUGGAUGAAAGCGGGGGAUCGCAAGACCUCGCGCGAUUGGAGCGGCCGAUAUCAGAUUAGGUCGUUGGUGAGGUAAAGGCUCACCAAGCCGACGAUCUGUAGCUGGUCUGAGAGGACGACCAGCCACACUGGGACUGAGGCACGGCCCAGACUCCUACGGGAGGCAGCAGUGGGGAAUUUUGGACAAUGGGCGCAAGCCUGAUCCAGCAAUGCCGCGUGCAGGAUGAAGGCCUUCGGGUUGUAAACUGCUUUUGUACGGAACGAAACGGCGAGCUCUAAUACAGUUUGCUAAUGACGGUACCGUAAGAAUAAGCACCGGCUAACUACGUGCCAGCCGCCGCAGUAA
rnacentral:rRNA from 1 species